ACUGUGUGCCCAUGUGUGAAUCGGAGAUACUGAAAAGUAAGACUUGGAGCUAAGCAGUUUUUGAUAUAAAGCCACCUUCACCAAGUGUGACUUGGGAGUGACCUGCUUUAUGUUUUGUAAGCCAGCGUGGUUUGAAUAAAUGAGUAGCGUAUUGUACUAUAUCUUGAGCCCCACCGUUAGAGACUGAUGAGAGCAGAGAGCCGGCUUCUCCUGCAGUGGUUAGUAGAGCCAUUUCUUCAAAACGCCUCAUACCAGAAAGAUGCACCAGGCUGCUGCCUUGAAAAACUUAGUGAGCUGAUCCAGAAGGCAGAAUCAAGCAUCAGAAUUGCAAUAUCCAAGACUUGAAUCUAGCAUCAGUAAAGUGUUACCAGCCUCAGGCAGGUCCUUCAGGAGGUAUUCCAGAAGAAGGCAUUGUUAUCAUAAAAUACGACAGCUGCAUGCAAGUUAUUGCCCUCGAAGAUCUUCCAGUGGGACGAGAUGCGGCGGUGGAAGACAGGGAUAGUGAUAAUCCUGAGCCUGAUUGGGCUGAGGGAAAUUAGUUUUUAACAAAAAAAAUUAAAUAUUAAAAAAUAUAUAAAAUGUUCCAAAUACA